UGGGUCCUACGGGAGGCAGCAGUGGGGAAUAUUGCACAAUGGGGGAAACCCUGAUGCAGCGACGCCGCGUGAGUGAAGAAGUAUUUCGGUAUGUAAAGCUCUAUCAGCAGGGAAGAAAAAAGACGGUACCUGACUAAGAAGCCCCGGCUAACUACGUGCCAGCAGCCGCGGUAAUACGUAGGGGGCAAGCGUUAUCCGGAUUUACUGGGUGUAAAGGGAGCGUAGACGGCUGUGCAAGUCUGGAGUGAAAGGCGGGGGCCCAACCCCCGGACUGCUCUG
rnacentral:rRNA from 1 species